GGGAGCAGGGAGAAAGCUGUCUUGGCUCAUGGUGUCCGUGGGGAGUCUGCAUGGUGAGAUGUUAAAAGUAUUCAGUUUUUCCUGUGUGUGAUCAUGGAGGCAAUGCUUCUCUGACAGUGGGAAGAGGCAGACUGCUGGGGUUUCACAGCCAAGUGCUGUUAAAGCCUUUACACCAGCAAAUUAUCUUUACCCAAGGCUUCCUGCUCCUCCAAGGGGACAGCACUGUUUGCAGAAGCCCGGACCUGAUGCACACAGAUGCCUUGAAAAACCCACUGUGGCCAAACUCAGGACUGUCACCUUUCUGCUGGCACCACACAAUGGGUGUCCCCAACCCUGCAGUGCAGUCCCAGACAUAGAGUGCAACAACUGCUGUUCUCACAUCUUGUUGUACUUGGCUGACCUGGGGUGAAAGCACCAAACCACCUCUGGGAGCUUUGAGGAUACUGAAUGCUGAACACACAUAGAGUGUCUGUAACAGCUGUCUCCUCCCAGGUCCAGCCAUCAUUCUAGUUUGGGCAAGGGGAAGAUGACACACAGCAGAGUGGUAAGCUCAAGACAAUAUGGGUUAUUGAUCAGUUUUGAGCCUGGAAGCCAAGAAAAUCAGAAUCUAUCUCCAGUACCAACCCCUCGUGCUGAUUUGGCUUCGCCCUCUGCCUGGCAUUUAUCAUGCCAGGCAAGCAGCUCCUUCAAAGCCGUGAGUCCUACAGAUGAGUCAGUGCCUGCUUUGAGUGCAGACACAUUGGUGGAAGAGUUCUGUGACACAGUGUAGCACCCAAAUUAUUAUCAGCUCUGCUCAGGAUGGGGCAUCAUCUCCUUUUCUAAUAUAUUUUCCAGCUUGAGAUUCUCUGGGCAAUGUGUAGUAAUAAAUUCAAAGCACGCAUAAAGGAAAGUGUGACAAAAGCCUUUCAAGCUUUUCCAAGGAGAUGCACCUGAUAAGGUGCCUUCCCAACUCACAUUUAAUGUUAUUUAGGACUAUAAAACGAAGGCCAAGGAUGCUUCAAAGAUACGUACAGCUCUCCAAGAACAGAUCUGGUAAUUUGUUUUGCAAUGCAGACAAAUAAGAUGAAACUAUCCAGAACAGUGCUCUGUAUCCUAUCACCCCUCCUUGGGCUACAUUUGCCAGCCCCUCUGUGGAGAUGGAGGCAACUGUGCCUAAAAUGCUGUGGCCCCAUCAUGCUACUAGUUUGUUACUCAUCCAGGAGAACUAUCACUGCUUUCCAAAAGACAAGGUUUUUGAUGGGGGAGGAAGCUCCCAUCCUGAUCCCUGGUUCAGUAUCCAGAGGUUGAGGCAAGGAUUUAAGGAAGUGCCUUUGCCAAAGGACCUCAAGUUUGAGAUUCUCACAUGGCAUCUCAUCACACCACACUCAGGAGCACCAGGUAGGAAUAUCUUAUCCCCUUCCCCUCUCUGGGGCAGAUGAAAGAGUUAGGUAAGAACUGGGAAACACACUCUGCCCUCAUCAGCACUCAGAGGUGCUUCUAUCUCAUGUUUCUCAGGGCAGUGGAGCACCAAGGCUGUCAGGAACCAAACGCAUCUGCAGCAUCCCACGGUCCUCAUGGAAACCUGACUCUAGCACUUUGUCUGGUCAUUAGAAGAACUUUGCUCCUAACUUUGCUUCCCUGGGCUGAUAUGGUAGAAUCUGCAACCAAAGCCUUUGCCUACCUGCACAGAGAGCUAGACAGGCACAGCAGGAGGAAUGCAAGAAACAGCUCCUGCCCUCUACAAAGCCUCGAUGCAGAUCCUCCAUCAUAACAUCACAUCUCAAUUGCUAUGCAGGGCUCUAGAUUAUAAUUUAAGUCUCACAUGCAGCCUCAAAACAGCCCUGUUUGUGGAAAACAAAUCCAAACAAUGGUGUAUUUUCUUCCUUUUCGAAGACUGGGCAAAGAAUGUUUCAAGAGGAGAGCUGCUGCCCACACCAUUUUUUUAAAUUCUGUCUUCUUGCUUCAUCAUGGCCUGGUAUAUUUCUUUUCUCCUGCCUUUAAAUCCAGGCAAGUCACUUGCACAACAGACUCCCUUUUAAGAGUCAUUGAUUUAGGAGAAAACUGACUGAAAGCCCUUCCUUUUUUCCCAUCUCAAGUAUUGAGAUCAGGAUUGAAGCCCCAUAAUUUAAGCAGCUGCAGCUGAUGCACUCUGCAAGAUGGCAAAAUAUUGGUGAAAUGACAAGGAGACUUUGAAAGAGCCAUAGCAUGUGGCAGACAGAGCCAGGAGGAGAGGGGAGAAGAUUUCCUGCCAUGGAAAGGUGUGGAAAUUUCAGCCAUUGACAAAUACUCAAUUGAGGUAGGUCAGAGAAGAUACACUGGGGAAAGCAGAGAUCUCUGAUGUUUCUUUUUUUCAAACAAAUGAGUUUCAAGUGUGAACUCUUUGUAUUGUCUCAUUUUGGGAAUAUUUUCCUGAAGAUGAUAACUUUCAGACCCAGGCCAGUGGCAUCCCUGAUAAACCACUCAGUAGAUGUUCUGAAAUCAGGCUCAGAAGCUUCACCCUGCUCAGCAAAUACUCAACCUUUGCACAAGAUUGAAUGGCCAAGGCCACAAAAGGCUUGUCCAAGCCUUGAACUGUGAAGAUGAUUCAGCUCUGCUCCUGUCUGAGAGGCAGCAAACACCCCCCUGCUUGUGGAGGGGUCAGCAAGCACAUCUCUGUGCCUCCUGAGGGUGCAGGGACAGUCAGCACUUGGGAUUGUUCCAAGGAUUGAGACAGCUCAUGCAGGCAAGUUUCUUCUGGGGAGGAACUAAAGGCUUGUUUAUAAUGUGAAAAAUCCACAGAAAAACCCCAUGCAUCCCUUGCAUGCAUCUAUCUGUCUCCACAGAUAUAUCCAUGCAGGGAGGGUUACUGACCAGUGUUAUGGCUCCUUACAAGGAGCCAUCCUGCAGAUAUGGAGAAGUGUUUUAUCUUUGCCUUGUUGCUUUCUCCUACCAAGCAGGGUGAGUGAAGCCAUGAAAAGAUGUCUCAGUCUGGCAGGCCAGAUGAUGCUCCGUGCAGGCCAUACAGCUCCAUGAUUUCUCACGGUGUCCCACCUUAGGACUAGUCCCAGUCGCCAUGUUCCAACAGCACCAGGCUAGUAGGGCCCACCACACCCAUGGGUCCUCAAGCCUGCCAACUUGGGAAUGUUCCUGUCAGGAUUUGUGGGAGACCUGCAAGGUUGCCUUGUCUACCUGCUGGCUCUGUAGCAGACGUGGCCCUCCCAGGGACCAGGCAUCCCCCUGCUGGGAUUAGUCAUCCUGCCUUUCUAAGUGUACACUAUGAUUUAUAAGUCACCACCUGAGAACCUGUCUGGUCUCUUUCUUGGAAGAAAUACAGCUGUCUGCCUCAGUCCUUCCUGUCAUAGGGCACCAUCUCUUGGCUGAAACCUGCUUUUCACACCUGCUCUUCAACUCCAAUUAACAGUUGCAGAGAGAGUCACCCAGAAGAGGCAGUGCUAUGCCUAUACCUCCACUCCUCAGCCCAAGGGUGAGCCUACACUUCCUGUCCCCAAUCUCCUGGACUCUGCAUCUAAUACCAUGCGCAGCCAGCAAACACCCAUGCCCCAGCCACUGGUGGUGGCUUACCUCCUCAUCACAAGUCUUUGUGGACAGCAAGAUGGCCAGCUGCUGGUCCUGAGAGAGUGCUGCUUUUUGGCUUUCUGAGCAUGUGGGGGCAAAACCUCCACUUUUUAAUGGGGGAGAGCAGGAUGGAAGCUGGGAAGAGCCUGAACAGCAUGUGUUUUGGACAUCUGCUUAAAAUGUGUAGGAAAUUUCCUUUACUUCCUUUAUAAGACAAUAGAAGCUACUCCUGGAUUCAGAUACAGCACCUAGGUCUUAUUGCAAGGGGAGGCAAGUGCAGGCCAACUUCUGCAGUGCUUUAGGCUAGACCUCAUUGCAGAAAAUCUGAUGAGUUUUAAGUUUUGAUCAGAAUUUGCAAAUACGUGACAAAAAAAGCCUUCUACAGGAUUAGUUUGAUCUCACCCAACUUUCAACAGACCCCAGGCUGCUCUCCAUUGGCCAAGAGACUCAAUUACUUUUCCCCAAGUAAUUUCAUGAAAGCACAAUACUGGCUCCAGUUCUGCUGAGCCAGCCAGAUCCUGCAAGGCAGCUUCCUGGCUGUGAAGUGCAACAGCCCAUGGCAACAGCUCCAAGAGAGCCUGGAGGAUGCUGCCAGGGGGCACCCACAGGUGUUGGGGACAGACAUCCCUGGGCAGGCAAGUCAAAGGUUACCUGCACUGAAUAUGCAGAGCAGAGUCUACCAUUCAAGCAGCCUUGGAUGACUGCAAGUUUUCAAGCUUUAAGAAAAAAAUCACCAAUUAUUGUAAGACCCAGUGUCAUUGCACUUGUAAAGAAAUACAGAAGGAUCUCCUAGAAACUGUUAACCUCCAGGUUUGCUCAGCAAUUUAAUCAUUUUAAGAAAGUGGUUAUAAUUUCUCUACAUCUACAAGGAUGAAUUAAUCAAGCAGACAGUAGCUCUCAGCAGAGUAACAUAAACACUUUUUUGCUUCAGUGCAAAAGUCCAGUUUUGAUUCAUGGAGUCACAUCAAGCCACUGCAAAAGAGAAACCUGCCUCUUUGCUGUUGGUCAUAUUUGGAGCUUAUCCAGUUCUUCACAGCCUGGCAUGCAGAGUGGUUUUAUUUCCUUCCUGUCCAUCCUCCCUAGAGUUAGGUUCUGCUGUGAAAGACAGGGGUGUAAUUUUACUUGAGGUUUUCUUAGGAAAGGACAGAAAUGCCCAUCACCACGGAGGAGCUAGAGAGCAUGGGGCCCUCCUACACCCUGGCAAAUGCAGCCCUGAAGGGUGUCUGCCAAACAGGACCAUUGCUCAGAGACAAGCCAAACUUGUUUGGAAGUCCAGUGCCAGGACCACUGGGUGCAACCUGCAGGGUGCAAGCCACAGGGUGCAACCCACAACCUGUCCAUUUUCAUUGCUGAGCUAAAAUUAGCUGGUAUUGUCAGAAGUGGCAAGACCGAUAAAUAAAUAAAAAUUAAAAUAUAUUUCCAGCAGUUUCAAUUCCCACCUCACAGCCUUGGGAACUGGUUCCAUAGGUUCAUGCACCAAUCUUGUGGAUCUGACAGGAUCCCCAGAGCAAUGCAAAGGAGCCCUGAGCAUCUCAGAAGUGGAGAGCCAUUUGUCCUCACAGCACCCCUUGAAGUAAGGAAAUUCCUCAUCAAACCCAAAUGGUGCAACCCACCACCCUGGCUGCUGGGACCAGCUCAGAUGUGACCGGGGAACCUUCCUGACACUGUCCUCACCAGCAAAAACCAGGAGCUUGGAGAAGGGAGUGGAGCUUGGUAGGAACAGCUCUGUGUUAGAGCUAGCAGCACCUGUCAAAUCUGUGCCAUGGCAGCAUGGCAUCUGAAGGGAAAAUGCUGGACUGGUUCCUCACCAGAUGGAAGAUGGAGCAUUGCAAUGACAAUGCAAAGAAUGUACAAAAUUAAACUAUGCCAGGCUCCAGGUGAAGUGAUCUCUCCCCCCUGUCAAAGCUGUGGAGACUCACCUGAAAAAAAUAAAGCCUGGUUUAAAACCAGAAGGAUGCAAAUGCAGGACUCAGGCAUGCUUCCUCUCAAAUCCUCUGCAUUGCAUAAUGACCCAAACAAAAUGAGCGUUCCAGCUGCUCUUGCAACAUCCCCACUCCUAAGCUGGAAGAGAUGGACACAGAGAAUUCGGUCCCCUGUUUGAAAGCACUUUGUGAUGUUCUGAUGAAAGGAGGCCAGGGAAAUCCAAACUCCUUUUAUCCCUUCCUCACCAGCCCUUGAAAGUGGGUUAGAGAGCAGCUGCUUAGUCAGGCUUGUUUGGACCUUCACAAUGUCUUCAAGCUUUCCCAGAGCACUCAUAUUAAAUUUUUUUUAAGGUUUUAAAAGCCCAUCUGUACUCCUGGCCCUUUAAACCAAGUUCCAAGCCCAGAUGGAAAUUCUAAAUCCCUGUAAAGAAUGGGUAGACAGAGCUGCUGGUGCUACACCCUGCUCUAAAAUGGCAUGACCACAUCUCAGACCAAGCAUGUCCAUAUGGAGAGCCUCCUCCAGAGCCAGUUUUAGCUACAAGAAAGCGGAGAGAGGCUGUAAUGAUUCCCAGAUAGUUUGAUAACCAGGAGUCUCACCCCUAAAGGACCCUACCCUUUCCUAUCUGAUGUUUUCUGUUUCUGUUCUCUCAUCAUUCAAACCCUCUGAACAGCUAGAGAGCAAGGCUGUGGGCCCCAGUGCCUCAUGCAUGUAGUGGAUGCUUACAUCCAUAACCCACACUUCCUAGUUCACUUUUUCACAUGGAAUUCCUUCUCUCCAAAAUAGGUAAAGAAAUUAAUAACUAACUAAACAACUGGACUGAACCAAAGCCUGGCACUCCUGUGCCAGCUGUGGAAUGAUGCUUGUUUGGCUACAAGUCUCUAUGAAACAACCUCAGCAUCAGGAUGAGUUUGGAGCAGAAGAGGCCUUGCUUCCAAAUUCAACCACAUCACUGCACAUGUGGGUUCAAGAGUCUAUGAAGUGCAAGUUGCUUUGAAAAGUAACUCAUCUGCCUCCCCUGUAAAAAGACGGCCCUGGACUCCUUCAGAGAUAAAGCAGAAGCCAGAGGGACCUUCCUGCGCACAGCCCACAAGACGUAAAAGGCUCUAUCUACAGCCCAUAAUUUAAUUUACAAAACUCUGCCUGAAGAGGCAGGAGGCAAAUCACAGCCUCCAAAGGCAGAAGGAAGAGCAAGCCUGAGGUUUUCACAAGAAGUGGGAACAGAGCAUUUCUUCAGAUUUGGAGAACAGCGGCUUUCUGGAUAGGCAACAAGGCAAGCAGCAAUGCCCCAGACUCAAAACACUAAUAAAAAACACCUGAGGUUUGCUUCCUAACCAGGGAGAAAGUAGGUUGGUUUGUUUAAUGAAAAGAUUUGGGAAAUCCUUUCCGGCUCAAUGGCCACUGUAGCAGAGUGAACCCUUUGAGAGAUCCCUACAUCAUCUCCUUUUUAUACUGGAUGGGGCAGCUCAUUGCAUGGCCAAAACAAGUGCUUUCCCCACAAAACCAGGCUUAUAGAAACCUUUAGCUCAAGCACUGCAAGCAGCGUAUCUCCAAAGCGCUAGGGGAAUGCGAGUCUGUACAGGUCGAAAGAAGCUUUAGAGGGAGAGAAAAAAAAAAGCUCACAACUGAGUUUAAUCUCUAAUCCAGCAGGUUUCUGGAAAAGCAAACUUCACUACAUGCUGCCAUGCCAUGCACACACUUCUGUGCAGAAUUAUGUGCCUGGUGAGGCUGAACCCAUCCCGUGUGCUGGGCACAAGCUGGCAGCACCCUGGGAUAACGCCGAGCAUGCCGAGCCCACACACAUGAAGACAUACGAGGCACACUCAUUCCUCGAAUAUCUGAUAAUUCCUGGGAUCCUUCUAACUCUGUUUAUUGCCUCCGGCAGCCUUUGUUUCUGAUGUGAGAAGAUAAACAAUGGGAAUUGUCUUAAUCCUAAAGGCAAAGAAUAAAAAGCACUGAGUGGGGGACGAUCCUUUUAUCAUGAUACAUUUGCAACAUCAAAAAAAGCUGACCCCCUUCCUUUGAAACGCACUGAAAUGUAUCUGCUUUUCCUCCCCUGUUGGCAGGAAUGAGCCCUCCGCUCUUUGCUGCCGAGCCCCCCGCGCCCACCCUUGCUCUGCCAGCACGGACGGCUGCACACAGCCCUCCCUGACUAGUGCGGCGAAUCACCAGUCCGCCUCGCCUCCCAAAUUCUAUUCCAGCUGCGUGCGGCGCCGGGGACGAGGGUAGUCCCACCUCUGCACAUCCGUGCAGGGUAGCUUGCUGACCUCACUCAUGAAAUCCCCACUUUCCGCCGUGCCCAUCCCAGGGCAGCCAAAGCUGCUCCUCUCCAGAGAUCUGCCAUCAUGUCACAGAGCUUCCUCAGCAGGACUUUCUUCCUGCAGGAAAAACACUCCCACAGUUCCCAAUAUACCUUCACCAGAAGCGUGACAGCUUAAAAGACCACCUUGAUAGCUGCUAUGAUCCACCCACCAGUUGCUAGAGACGUGUGGCAUGCAAGAUGGAGCAUCUGGCAAAGAAGGAGGGGAGAAGGACUAAGCACUAACGCAUCCCAGGCAGCCACCUUUUCCCACAGGCAGGACACUCAGAGAGUGCCGCUGACCUGGCACUUUCCCCAGGCAUUGGGGAGCAUCCUCCAAAAUACACCUACAUCCCACAGUCUCCAGCGAGUCAAAAUGUAAAGGCAGGAGCUGUAUCCGGAUGAAGAGAGGAUUCCUUACACAGGGGAUGUGUGCCCACCUGAGCACCUGUGUUGGGAUACACGACACUCAGGAUCUUUCAUGCUGACAACCCCAAGAACUCCUUAUCCUGUGUGGUAUACUUGCCCCUGCCGAGAGAAAUCCAUGAAGGGCUGGGAGAGACAUAUCACAGUGCUGUGCCUGUUAGCAGAAGACUGCUCCUUCCCUGUGACAUGCGUGGUCCUGUUGCUUGCAAAAGGUGGAAGCUGGUUGGGGCUGAUGCUGGGAACAUGACCCUGCUGUGGAGUUCAGGGAGCCACAGACCUGGGACACCAAAUCCCCCUGGAGCCAUGUCCAGUCUCCCUUCCUGCUGCCUGCAGCAGUGAUGGAUAUCCAAGAGGUCAGUGAAUUGUACUGAGUCCAAGCAUCUUCUAUUUACUUCUCUGCCUUAGAUACUGCAUUUUCCUGAGCUGACAGUUUCCUAGUUCUUCUCCAACAAACCUCCUUUUAUUUCUGUAGAGGCUUGCUGUAUAUUUUCAUUUUGCAAAUUAAUAUGAUUUCUUCCUGUCCUUAGUACUGAGCACAUUCAACUAUUUGAAACUUCCCCUGUACCAUUUGGUGUUGGCAGUGUGUCAGGUUCUCUUCACUUUAUCUUAUCAGUAUAGUAACUUCUCUCUGCUAUGAUAUAAUAUGUCCAUACAUAUAUAUCAGUGUGUUCAACUUGCCUGUUUCCCUUCUCACCAAUUUAAUUCUAACCUUACAGGUUAGGGCUGUUGCACAAACAACUUGGCCCUUCUGCUAUCUUUUAUGGUAAGACAGAACAAUACAUGUCCAGGUUUUCCUAACAAAAGCCUGAGGAUAUUGGAUGUGCUUCACUAAUAAUGAUGAUUUUAUAAUAGAGAUGAUUUUUUAUGAUCUGCCCCAUUGUUCCCCUUCACCUGGAAAUUGAUCCUGAAAUGCACAGUUACACCAAACACUGUCCUGACUCACUCCAUGCAUGUCCUGAGAGCUGUUCAGGUUCUCAGGAGCUUGACAUUGGUUUGGUGCAUGCAGCACCAUCCAUGCCCUGCUGCCAUAGGACACACUGUCACAUACCCUGUUGCCAUGUAAGUUCUUGGGGUUUUAACUUUUUUCUUUUUAUAAAUUCCCAUGUCACAUUUAGUAGUAGCAUUGGGAAACACUGAUAUUUCUUAGGAUGAGAACAUUGACAGCUGGUUUGGGAAGGCAGGUGUAUUUUCUUGGGAACAAUGCUGAUAGCAUCCCUAGACUGAAGGGGCUGCAUGUAAAAGAAAGCAGAAACAUCCUAGGCUGAUUCAGCAAUGCCUGGGGGAAAUGUUCCACUGUAAAUCCAGGAUCUCAACAGGUAGGUGGAAGGGGACACAGGGUCUCCAGACCAGCAGCAGGACUGUCUCUAGCACUGGCUUGGCAUGGCUAUGGCUUUGCCUAAAUAAGCCAUGGAAAAUCCCAUCCUGCUCCUUUCUGGUGACUUGUCCCAGUAUGGAGCCACUGCCCUGAUACCAUCAGUUUGGCUCUGUGCCCCUGCCCCAGGAGUGGCUGCUGCAUGUCACGGCAGGGCAAGGUGGAUGUGCCCAGACUUCCCUGCAGUGCCUGGGCUGGGCAGAGCUCAGAGGAGACUCCAGAGCCAAGACAACCGGGCACCAGCCCUCAUAUAUCCCUGUGGCAGGCUCCCCACAGCUGCCACUUGUGCGAGCAGAAGUGAUUUAUGUUGAAUUUUCAUUUUGUUGUUUAGUAAAUUAGAAUUUGAAAAUCAGCAUGGUUUCUUGUGCGAGCCUCACUAAUGGCCGAGGUUAUCACAACAGCUAUAAAUCCCCCUCGAUUCUGGAUGGGAAAUUUCAUUACUUCUCCUCUCUCCUCCCAUCCCUGGGCCAUGAGAUCUGGCAGAGCCAUGGGAGACAGGAGUUGAUUCAAUCCAGCUCUGGCUAAAAUCAUCAACCAUGAAUCAUCAUCUGCUGGAGACCCUCUCCUUCACUGAGCUUUGACACCCAGGGAAGCUGUGCUGGCUGGUCUGUGAGCAGGAACUGCUUCCAAGACCAGAGCACAGAGUGAGAGAGACCAAGUUGGAAGCAGUUACAGAAGUUCCCUCAUCCAGCAGCGCCUGAAGUGUAUACCACAGACCCCAUAGGAUGCAAAUUACUUAGCUCAGAGACCCUACAACACUUCUGCUUUUCAGCCAGGGACUGUCAAAUGUGAUGUGAGCAAUCCACCCAGGAGGAGAGGACUUCUAUGGAGAGGAGAAGAGGACUUUCCAUGUCAGGGCUUCCAUGUCUCAGCUGAGACCCAAAGCCUCCAGACUGCAGCCAGGGCCUCCCUGCCCAAUCCCUGCCUGUGCCUUGGAGACUCUGCCUUGCUCAUCAAUCGUUUCUGGUCCAAUGCUCCCAGUGUGGGAUAUUGGGAAGCUGCCCUGGCCCCCUCCCCAGCUUCCCUGUCCACCACAGGAUAUUCUAGCCUUGCAAAUCCAUCUCUUGAUCCAGGCACCUAAACCAAGACCGUGCAGUGCAGAGCAUUACAGCAAACUGCCUCCUUGACUCUGAUCCUGUGAAACUCAGUGUGCAUGUUGGCUUCAACUGGCUUCACAGUAUCAUGGCAUCUUUCAGGCUGGAAAAUCUCUGCACCAAUUCCAACCAUUAACGCAGCACUGACAGGUCCACUGCUAAACCACAUAUUUUUUGAGCUCUUCCAGGGAUAGAACUCUACAGCUGCUCUGGGCAGCCUCUCCAAUUCCUGACAAACCUUUCUGUGAAGUUCAGGCUUCUCAGUCAUCUUGCUGCAAAAGCACAAGGACAAGUCAUCCUCCACAUAUCUUGUGUCCCACAAGCCCCUGGUGGUGCCUAAAGAGGUUCAGCCCAUUAUAGAAGAUCAAGUUGAUGCUGGAAGCAUUUGCAUUCCGUCUGAAUUGCAAGCCAGAAGUGACAUGAAACAUCACAUGUCAGGCAGAUUGGCCCAAAAAAAAAACCAAGACUGCUCUCAGCAAGAUGUGCAAACCCUUCCCUGUCUCCCUUAAUCAUCAUUCUGCCUUUUAUUGCUCUCAUAAACUCUCUUGCAGAGAAAACACGUGGCUUAAAAAAACGCAGAUCCAUUUUUGGUUGAGGGAAAGUGAGAAAUCACUGUGAGUGUCUAAUGAAGGGAUAAAGGGCUGAAGUCCCCAGUAGGCAUCAUGGGAGAUCUUUCCCAAAGGUGUGCAGAUGUUGCAACUGUGCCCUGGCACAGUUCACACAGUUCAUGGCCACACGGAUCCCCAACAGCAGCGUGCAGACGGCUGAGUGGGUGCAGUCCUUUCCAAACAGAACGGAAGAGCCUUGCUCCAUCUGGACACAACAGCUGGGAAGAGCAAAAUAAAGCAGAAUCCAAAGACUUCCCUGCUUCUCUGCUGAGUGUGCUGAGAGCCCCAGGAUCCAAGCUCAAAGCAGGGGUUGCAUCAGCGGCUUCACAGACGCUGUAGAAACUUCUGAUACUCACGGAAAGCUGGUGAGUAGUGCAGGAAUGGCUAUGGGAAUGGACAGCACAGACACAGCCUAGAGGAGGUCCCUCCAUCACCAACGCAGCCCUGUUGCUCCAGAGACCUCAUCCAGGCAUUCCCUGGAUGCAUUUGGGAUGACUGGAGGAUAUAUAUGGCUAUAUUAAAGACUGAAGAAAUUUUUCACUGUGAGGCUGAUGAAACCCUGGCACAGAUUGCCCAGAGAGGUUGUGGAUUCCCCAUCCCUGGAAGUGUCCAAGGCCAGGCUGGAUGGGGCUUGUAGCAACCUGGGACAGUGGAAGGUGUCCCUUCCCAUGGCAGGGACUGGGAUGGGCUUUAAGGUUCCUCCUAACCCAAACCUUUCUGAUUUUGAGAUUCUCUGUUGCUGUAUUUCAUUAUCUACCCACACUGGGGAGGUGUAGGAGCUGAUAGACAUUAAAAUAUUUCCUCUCAGUGGAAUGUGCUUGGAGAUGGCAGCAGACAUCUCUCCACCUCCUUCUUUCAGCAUGUCUCCCUCAAACUUUUCUCUCUCUUGUUUAGAGCUCCCCCAUAAGCAGCCUCGGCAGAGAUGCUAUAAACAGGAUAUGGGCUCUCUGGAAAUCUGCAAGCAGGAGUGGCUGAAGGUAUUUAAUAGUAUCUCUGCAGUAAACAGAGAUAAAGGGGGAUCAGCUGUAUGGAGCAGGGAGUAAGUAUCAGAUGGAAUUGCUCUGCUACGGUGUCUAUUUACUGAAACAGGAAACAAAUAUUUUUUUGGCUUUUGCCAAAGAAAUAUUUCUUUAAAAAUGUGUUAAUAUUAGGAGUAAAAAUGCAUUUUUUAGACAUGAUAAGUGGCCACAUUCACUGGAGUUUUAUUUACUAUAUAAAGGUUAACAUUGGUCUGUUUAUCCUACAGACGAGAUUUCCAGAAAAUUACAAGAAGGGUCAUGUAACAGUCAGCUCCUGCUUGCCUGAGCUUAUUUGCCAGAGCCAAAUCCCCAGAGCCUGAGGAGCUGGAGCAGAUAUUCAGAAGGACUCUGAGAAUGGGAGAAAAGAAAUAACUGAGCUUUAAGUUUUUUCGAGUUCAUUUGCCGGGAAGGUGGGGGCUGGGCUCACCCUUGUGCUGGUGUGGGGGGCAAGAGACAGAGGGGCUGCAUUGGUUUCUCCAGAGCUGUGUGAGGGAGUGGCCAGUUGGAGGGAGGCUGAGGAAAAUCCAUCGAUGGUGCAAGCAAGCUGCUUUCCUGCUAACCCCAAAGAGCCAUUCUAAAGCCUGGAUCAGGAGAUUUAUCUCCUAGCCAACACUUCUUAUGUAGUUUUACUAUGAUUACUCAGCUUGACAAAUGAGGGUGCUCCAGAGAAACAUCCAGCCCCUGUCCUCUAUUCAGUAAGGAUAUCCUGGGACUUGUGCUGAGGGAACACGGUCAUUUAAAUUUCUCUCACAGCCACGCUGUCCCUUUUCUGAAGGGUGAGACUGUCUUCCAUCUUGCCCUGUCCCCCUGUGAUCUGACAGUCCCCUGCCCUGGGUGGGUUUGACAAGAUUGUCCCUGCCAGUUUUGGGACUUGGUUCUUCCUGCAGCUUCCCACACUGCUCCGAGGGAAGCUUAUUGUCAAAACAGUUGUGAAAGUCCUGGUAAAUCAUUCUGUGUUAAAAAUACAUCAAAAAAAUGGGUUCAUUAUUAAUGGCUCUGCUGUCAGCACCAUGAAAUCCCGACUGAGCAGUGAGGCAAGGAUUUUCUUCAAUGAAGCAGUGCUGGUGCAAUCCAGUAGCAUUGCUAUCUGGAAGAGAAGCUUGAGCCAAAUCAUUAGCCCUAAUAUAGAAAAAUCAAGGCAAAUAUCAAAGGCCUAAGAUACCCAGGAGGUUGGAUUAUGCAAUUUACUAUUUUUCUCAUGAUUUGCACAGUCUUAUUAGCUGGAAUCAGCAUGACCUUAUGAGGAUCCUGACAGAGUCUGGCUGCAGUCUGAAAGUCUUGGCUUUCAGCUAUGGGAUGGCCACCCUGGGAUUCAGUUCUGAUACUCUCAGACAGGCCUUUUAAAGGAGCUGGCAUGGCCUUUGCCCUCUUAGGAAGAGUCUUUUCUUCGUUCUCCUCCAGGGAAGUCUUGAUCCAUAUUCCUUUGACUGCUGAGCAAGGUGAAGGAGUCAUGGAGAAGAGAGGGGUCAUUGGGCUUUCAACCACUACUCUUCUCCUGUCCAGCUGGCACAACUCCAGGGGCUGGACAACUCCAGUCCCCUCUUGCUGGCCAUUGCUAUCUUCACACCAUUGCUGGAAACAGAGGAUUAAUAAACUGCAGCUCAGAAAUGUCGAUGAACGUGUGGGUUGGCUGUGUUGGACAGAAGAUAAUUUGUGGUGAAAUCCACAAAACGUCUGGGAUUUGUAAAUGUUUCAUGAUGACUUGGAUCUUCUCCAAACACUCCCAUCUACUGACAAACAUGAGCCAUGAAUCAUUGCACACAGGAAAAACUUCCAAGCCCUUGACUUACUGCUCACCCAGUUCUGCUACACUGACAGCUGAGAGCAUUCACUGCCCAGUGGGGAACAGGGAUUCAGGGUCAAGGUGAAGGAGAUAUUUGGCAGCCCCAUGGAUGCUCUCUACUGGCCUUGGGCAGAGGAGGCGGGGACAUGGCACACUGGCUUUUCUGGGUGGCAGCCCACAGGACUGAGCUGGGUCUGUCCCAGCUGAUACCAAGAUGUCAAGGGCAAGCUCCCUGACAUAGCCCAGAGAUAAUCUCCUUUCCCAGAAAGCAGAUUCACUUUCCACUGCUGAAGGUGAGGUCCAGGAGGUUUUCUGCCUGACAUCAGCUGGUGUUGGUGAUGUCUUUCUGCAGCCUGGGCUGUUUGUGGUACUGCAGAGCUCUUUGCAGGCUGCCUGCAGCCUUUCGCAUUAGUUCUGAGUUUUGGACUCUGGAGGAAGGCUUGAGAAAGCUGCAUGAAAAGCCCUCAAGAGCUGUUACCUCAUGGCCAUUUGCCAUUUGUCACCCUGCAACCAGCAGGACCCAUGGGCAGGGAGGUGAUUCACCCCAGCCAGGCAGUCCAGCUGCAGGGGACUGAUCAGCUCAGCCCAAGUCAUAAAAUA